GAGUUUGAUCAUGGCUCAGGAUGAACGCUGGCGGCGUGCCUAAUACAUGCAAGUCGAACGGUCUUUUCUAUGGAAGCUUGCUUCCGCUGAGAAGAUAGUGGCGGACGGGUGAGUAACACGUGGGUAACCUGCCCAUAAGAGGGGGAUAACAUCCGGAAACGGGUGCUAAUACCGCAUAGUUUUCUUGAUCGCAUGAUUGAGAAAGGAAAGACGGCCUUUGUGCUGUCGCUUAUGGAUGGACCCGCGGCGUAUUAGUUAGUUGGUGAGGUAAUGGCUCACCAAGACGAUGAUACGUAGCCGACCUGAGAGGGUGAUCGGCCACAUUGGGACUGAGACACGGCCCAAACUCCUACGGGAGGCAGCAGUAGGGAAUCUUCCGCAAUGGACGAAAGUCUGACGGAGCAACGCCGCGUGAGUGAAGAAGGUUUUCGGAUCGUAAAACUCUGUUGUCAGAGAAGAACAAGUUGGAGAGUAACUGCUCCAGCCUUGACGGUAUCUGACCAGAAAGCCACGGCUAACUACGUGCCAGCAGCCGCGGUAAUACGUAGGUGGCAAGCGUUGUCCGGAUUUAUUGGGCGUAAAGCGAGCGCAGGCGGUUCCUUAAGUCUGAUGUGAAAGCCCACGGCUCAACCGUGGAAGGUCAUUGGAAACUGGGGAACUUGAGUGCAGAAGAGGAGAGUGGAAUUCCAUGUGUAGCGGUGAAAUGCGUAGAUAUGCGGAGGGACACCGAUGGCGAAAGCAGCCUCCUGGGCCAGUACUGACGCUCAUGCACGAAAGCGUGGGGAGCAAACAGGAUUAGAUACCCUGGUAGUCCACGCCCUAAACGAUGUCAACUAGUU
rnacentral:rRNA from 1 species